UACGGAGGAUGCAAGCGUUAUCCGGAAUGAUUGGGCGUAAAGCGUCUGUAGGUGGCUUUUUAAGUCCGCCGUCAAAUCCCAGGGCUCAACUCUGGACAGGCGGUGGAAACUACCAAGCUGGAGUACGGUAGGGGCAAAGGGAAUUUCCGGUGGAGCGGUGAAAUGCGCAAAGAUCGGAAAGAACACCAACGGCGAAAGCACUCUGCUGGGCCGACACUAACACUGAGAGACGAAAGCUAGGGGAGCGAAUGGG
rnacentral:rRNA from 1 species